GAAAUGGGUUCUGUCGAGUUAAAAGAAAAUAGGGAUAAUUGAAUAUCAAUUCAUUACCGCCCUCCAUUGGCCAGGCAGCCAACCAGGGCAACGCGGAAGUGACCUGCAGCCAGCGGUUAGCCAAUGGGCGCCCACUACACCAAACCAGAGGGAAACCCACAGAACCAACGUGCUAACCAACAUCACAGCUGAACCCUUUUAAUUCACGUUCUACAACAAUGUUGAUGUCGUGAGGUCCUUUUACUUGACCUCCCUGACCGCCGUAGCCCAGCGGAGCGUCCCGCCCGGGGCGGUGGAGAUGGCCCACAUGCCGGCCCCCAUGACGGCCCCAAAGACGUCCCCUAUGAAGGCCCCCAUGACGUCCCCUAUGAAGGCCCCUAGGUCGUUCCCGAGGUCGGCUCCUAGGACGGCCCCCAGCAGUAAAGUGCGCCCGGUGCUCCCUAGACCAGAGGAGGAGGAGGAGGACGAGGACGAGGAGGCGGAGCUCUGGUUUCCAGAUUGUAAUGAUGAGGAAGAUAAGAAGGGAGGCGGUCCUCUCCAUCCCAGCCUGCCUCACUGUCCACCAAUCAGGGGCACCCCUCAGCGUCCCCAUGGCUACGGUGGCUCCCUGGGCUUCAAGCUGAACGGUGUGCCGGUGGAGCCUCAGGCAGGGGGCCCGGCUGACCUGCUGCUGGUGCACACGGGGGGCCCCUGUGGCUUCACCUCCCUACUGGUCUCCCCCC
ensembl:lncRNA